CAAGAGGGCCAGCUGCAGCGCGAGAAGCGGGAGCUGAGCCGGGCCGAGCGGGCGCGCCACGAGGCGCUGCUUCGAGGCCGAGUCCGGCAGCAGCAGGAGGAACGGGAGGGCCUGCGGAGCUCCCUGGAGGCCAGCUUGGGCCGCGCGCAAGAGAACUAUGAGCAACUGCAGGAGCAGCGCGCCAGGGAGCUGCGGGAGCGCGCGCGGAGAGAGGAGCUCCAGGGUCGGCGGGCGAAGGAAGCGGCCGAGCGCAAAGAGCGGGAGCAUCAGGCGCACUUGGAGGCGCUGGCACGGGCGGGAGAGCGACGGCUGCAGCACGCUGCGCAAGUGGCCGAAGAGGCGGUGCAGCAGAAGGCCCGGCGCGUGAUUCAGACUCGCCUGGAGAAGGAGAGGGCCCAGCGUGCCAACAAGGAGAAGGUGGAGAGAGACGAAGACUGCCGCCGUCGGGAGUUGCUGCAGGCCAUUGGGCGCAAGCUGGAGCGCAGCGAGCAGCUCUCUCGAGAACGGCGAAGUGCGCUGGAGAGCGCUCGCUCCACAGCCCGGGCCUCCUUCCAUGUGCGGGAAAAGGUGCGGGAAGAGACCAACACGCGCUCUUUUGACCGCAUGGUGCGAGAGGCCCAGCUACAUGCCAGCCUGGACCGCAAAUGACAGCCACCCUGUGCAGGCCAUGCUGCUCUGUGUAGCCAGGAGUGGCCUCCCUUAGUCACUUUGACCAAACUCCAGGCUUCUCCAAUCCUGGUGCCACACCAUGAACUCUCCAGACUAACGAACCAUGAGGCGCUGAGAAGCCAGACAUGGUAUUUUUUCCAUCUGCCGCCAUUGUUUUAUAGACCUAACUUCGUUUGGAAAUGACAUGGCACAAUCUACCCACAUUCACUUGUGUCUUUGGGUUGGAAUAGAAA
rnacentral:lncRNA from 1 species